rnacentral:misc_RNA from 1 species
AAAGUCGUAACAAGGUUUCCGUAGGUGAACCUGCGGAAGGAUCAUUAACAAAUUCUAAACAACUGUGUUUCUUUAGCCCUACUGCUACUAAUUUGAUAGUCCCUCUACAUAACCUGCGGGGGGCCUAUUGGAUUACUGUGGAGGUUAAAGAAGUCACAUAAACAUACACUUUGAUUGACAACACCUAGUGAUCUAGAUAUUAAUUGUAGACAACUUUUAACAAUGGAUCUCUUGGCUCUU